UGCCAGCCGCCGCGGUAAGACGGAGGGGGCUAGCGUUGUUCGGAAUUACUGGGCGUAAAGCGCGCGUAGGCGGCGCAUUAAGUCAGAGGUGAAAGCCCGGGGCUCAACCCCGGAAAUGCCUUUGAGACUGGUGUGCUUGAGUGCGGAAGAGGUGAGUGGAAUUCCCAGUGUAGAGGUGAAAUUCGUAGAUAUUGGGAAGAACACCAGUGGCGAAGGCGGCUCACUGGUCCGUAACUGACGCUGAGGUGCGAAAGCGUGGGGAGCAAACAGGAUUAGAUA
rnacentral:rRNA from 1 species